UACGUAGGUGGCAAGCGUUGUCCGGAAUUAUUGGGCGUAAAGCGCGCGCAGGCGGUUCUUUAAGUCUGAUGUGAAAGCCCACGGCUCAACCGUGGAGGGUCAUUGGAAACUGGAGAACUUGAGUACAGAAGAGGAAAGCGGAAUUCCACGUGUAGCGGUGGAAAUGCGUAGAGAUGUGGAGGAACACCAGUGGCGAAGGCGGCUUUCUAGGUCUGUAACUGACGCUGAGGCGCGAAAGUGUGGGGAGCAAACAGG
rnacentral:rRNA from 1 species